rnacentral:lncRNA from 1 species
UUAUCUUGAAUCUCAUUAACAAGCUUGACCAGCCUUUCUUGUUGACAUGGUAUACACUGGUUCUUCUCAUUUUACACUUUGUUCUUUGCAUAUGAAUCUAGGAAAUGAUGGAAGCAUGAGUGAAGAAGAUGAACCAAGUUACAACGAAGAUGGAAAUGGUUAGAAGUGCAAAGGCAAGAAUGGAUGGCCAUGGAAGAGAAUGAAGGACAAUGUAGUUUGGCUUCUAAUAGCAGUGGUGGUGGAGAAGAUGGGGAGAGGGAGAGAAAAUCAAAGUAGG